GACGAACGCUGGCGGCGUGCUUAACACAUGCAAGUCGAACGGAAAGGCCCUGCUUUUGUGGGGUGAUCGAGUGGCGCACGGGUGAGUAACACGUGAGUAACCUGCCCUUGACUUUGGGAUAACUUCAGGAAACUGAGGCUAAUACCGGAUAGGAGCUCCUGCUGCAUGGUGGGGGUUGGAAAGUUUCGGCUGUUGGGGAUGGACUCGCGGCUUAUCAGCUUGUUGGUGGGGUGGUGGCUGACCAAGGCAUUGGCGGGUAGCCGGCCUGAGAGGGUGACCGGCCACAUGGGGACUGAGAGACGGCCCAGACGCCAACGGGAGGCAGCAGUGGGAAAUAUUGCACAAUGGGCGGAAGCCUGAUGAGGCAACGCCGCGUGCGGGAUGACGGCUUUCGGGUUGUAAACCGCUUUCGCCUGUGACGAAGCGUGAGUGACGGUAAUGGGAAAAGAAGCACCGGCUAACUACGUG
rnacentral:rRNA from 1 species